AUACUUACCUGGCAGGGGAGAUACCAUGAUCACGAAGGUGGUUUUCCCAGGGCGAAGCUUAUCCAUUGCACUCCGGAUGUGCUGACCCCUGCGAUUUCCCCAAAUGUGAGAAACUCGACUGCAUAACUUGUGGUAGUGGAAAGUGUAUUCGCGCUUUCCCC
rnacentral:snRNA from 1 species